GCAAACUUGGUCAUUUAGAGGAAGUAAAAGUCGUAACAAGGUAACCGUAGGUGAACCUGCGGUUGGAUCAUUAAAAAAAAUAUAAAGAGGGGGUUUUUUAUGGCCACCUUUACACUUUUGUUGAAUUUUCAAGUCUUUAAUGGGUUAAAACUUUUAUAUGAAAGGGCUUUUUUAAGCAACCCAUUACUUUAAACACAAAUUUAAACUUAUUAUAGUCAUUUUAAACAAGUUAAAAUUUUAAACAACUUUUGACAACGGAUCUCUAGGCUCUCGCAUCGAUGAAGAACGCAGC
rnacentral:misc_RNA from 1 species